UACGAAAGGAGCAAGUGUUAUUCAGAUUAACUGGGCGUAAAGGGCACGUAGGUGGUUUGUUUAUGUGUAUUAUUAAAAUUUAUAAAAGCAUAACUUUAUAAAUGUAGUAUAAAACAGCAAAACUAAGAGUUAGGUAGAGAGUAGUAGAAUUUUCUAAUGUAAAGGUGAAAAUUUUGAUAAAUUAGAGAGAAUAACCAAUGGCGUAAGCAACUACUUGGACCUUUAGCUGACACUGAGGUGCGAAGGUAUGGGAGCAAAUAGGGAUUUUGAGAUAACCCUUGGUACGU
rnacentral:rRNA from 1 species